rnacentral:rRNA from 1 species
CGAGUCUUAACUGGGCGAAUGAGUUGCAGGGUAUAGACCCGAAACCCGGUGAUCUAUCCAUGGGCAGGUUGAAGGUUGGGUAACACUAACUGGAGGACCGAACCGACUAAUGUUGAAAAAUUAGCGGAUGACUUGUGGAUGGGGGUGAAAGGCCAAUCAAACCGGGAGAUAGCUGGUUCUCCCCGAAAGCUAUUUAGGUAGCGCCUCGUGAACUCAUCUUCGGGGGUAGAGCACUGUUUCGACUAGGGGGUCAUCCCGACUUACCAACUCGAUGCAAACUGCGAAUACCGAAGAAUGUUAUCACGGGAGACACACGGCGGGUGCUAACGUCCGUCGUGAAGAGGGAAACAACCCAGACCGCCAGCUAAGGUCCCAAAGUCAUGGUUAAGUGGGAAACGAAGUGGGAAGGCUCAGACAGCCAGGAUGUUGGCUUAGAAGCAGCCAUCAUUUAAAGAAAGCGUAAUAGCUCACUGGUCGAGUCGGCCCGCGCGGAAGAUGUAACGGGGCUAAACCAUGCACCGAAGCUGCGGCAGCGAACGUAUCACUUAAAUUUGUUUGAGUGAAUAACGAUUGACGGAACGAAGUGACGUCAAUGCGUUAAUGAAAGUCGAGGCGAAAGCACGACAAAGCGAAUUUAAGGAUACGUUCGUUGGGUAGGGGAGCGUUCUGUAAGCCUGCGAAGGUGUACUGUGAGGUAUGCUGGAGGUAUCAGAAGUGCGAAUGCUGACAUAAGUAACGAUAAUGCGGGUGAAAAACCCGCACGCCGGAAGACCAAGGGUUCCUGUCCAACGUUAAUCGGGGCAGGGUGAGUCGACCCCUAAGGCGAGGCUGAAAAGCGUAGUCGAUGGGAAACGGGUUAAUAUUCCCGUACUGGUGGUAACUGCGAUGGGGGAACGGAGAAGGCUAGGUUGUCCGGGCGACGGUCGUCCCGGUUCAAGCAGGUAGGCAGAGUGAUUAGGCAAAUCCGGUCACUUAAUGCUGAGAUGUGAUGACGAACCACCAAGGUGGUGAAGCAAUUGAUGCCCCGCUUCCAGGAAAAGCCUCUAAGCUUCAGGUUACCAACAAUCGUACCCCAAACCGACACAGGUGGUCAGGUAGAGAAUACUCAGGCGCUUGAGAGAACUCGGGUGAAGGAACUAGGCAAAAUGGUGCCGUAACUUCGGGAGAAGGCACGCUGGCGGUAGGUAAAGUCCCUCGCGGACGGCGCUGAAGCCAGUCGAAGAUACCAGCUGGCUGCAACUGUUUAUUAAAAACACAGCACUGUGCAAACACGAAAGUGGACGUAUACGGUGUGACGCCUGCCCGGUGCUGGAAGGUUAAUUGAUGGGGUUAGCGUAAGCGAAGCUCCUGAUCGAAGCCCCAGUAAACGGCGGCCGUAACUAUAACGGUCCUAAGGUAGCGAAAUUCCUUGUCGGGUAAGUUCCGACCUGCACGAAUGGCGUAAUGAUGGCCAGGCUGUCUCCACCCGAGACUCAGUGAAAUUGAACUCGCUGUGAAGAUGCAGUGUACCCGCGGCAAGACGGAAAGACCCCGUGAACCUUUACUAUAGCUUGACACUGAACAUUGAGCCUUGAUGUGUAGGAUAGGUGGGAGGCUUUGAAGUGUGGACGCCAGUCUGCAUGGAGCCAACCUUGAAAUACCACCCUUUAACGUUUGAUGUUCUAACCUAGGCCCAUAAACUGGGUCGGGGACCGUGUCUGGUGGGUAGUUUGACUGGGGCGGUCUCCUCCUAAAGAGUAACGGAGGAGCACGAAGGUUGGCUAAGCAUGGUCGGACAUCAUGCGGUUAGUGCAAAGGCAUAAGCCAGC